GGCGGGGCCCGCGCUCGGCAUGGCGGAGCCGGAUCUAGAGUCCGAGCAGAUCCGUCUGAAGUGUAUUCCUGGGACGAUGCCGGAGUGUGAAGGAGUUUGAGAAGCUGAACCGCAUUGGAGAGGAUCGGGCCCGGGACACCCAGACAGAUGAGAUUGUCGCGCUGAAGAAGGUGCGGAUGGACAAGGAGAAGGAUGGCAUCCCCAUCAGCAGCUUGCGGGAGAUCACGCUGCUGCUCCGCCUGCGUCAUCCAAACAUCGUGGAGCUGAAGGAGGUGGUUGUGGGGAACCACCUGGAGAGCAUCUUCCUGGUGAUGGGUUACUGUGAGCAGGACCUGGCCAGCCUCCUGGAGAAUAUGCCAACACCCUUCUCAGAGGCCCAGGUCAAGUGCAUCGUGCUGCAGGUGCUCCGGGGCCUCCAGUAUCUGCACAGGAACUUCAUUAUCCACAGGGACCUGAAGGUUUCCAACUUGCUCAUGACUGACAAGGGUUGUGUGAAGACAGGUGGGUGCAACUUGGGCCAGGCCCUGUCCCUAGAUGGCAGCUUGUCAGCCCUCACUUGGCAACACACGCUUCCCUUUCUGCUGCAGCGGAUUUCGGCCUGGCCCGGGCCUAUGGUGUCCCAGUAAAGCCAAUGACCCCCAAGGUGGUCACUCUCUGGUAAGUCCUUCUGAAGCAUGGUGGCCCCUGGGGACCAGGCCUGCCUGGUGGAGGUCUCCUUGGGGAUGUCAGGCCGAAGCUGCAAGUGGCCUUGGGAAUGUUAAGCUACAGAGUCUGUGCACGCUGAGAAAGGCUGGGUCUAGGACAGCCUCCAGGACACAGCAGGGCUGUGCCACAAAAUGGUGAGAGCCGGGCUCAGUGGCGUCAAGGGCCUGCCUAGAUGAGACACACCUCGCCUUCAGAGCUGGAAACACACCGUGGCCGUGAAACCAUCUCUGGAGGGAAGGCUGCUUCACAGACUGAAGGACGGGCAGCUUGCAUGCUUUCCCUGGUUCUUCCUCCUGGAUACUUUUAGCCGAACAGGGUCAUGCUUAGCCAGGGCUGAACAUGAGAGUUGGUCAGACCCAGGUCAGGACCCCAGUGUUGUGUACUCCCCAUCUGAGAACGGGUUGGUAGUGGCUGGUGUGGCUGUGUGCUGAGGGUCCGUGGUCCCUGUGACUCUCAGGACACCGCCGCACGUGACAGCUCUCGCCCUCGGCAGCUGUUGCUGUGUGCGCCACCUGGAUCUGCAGGGC
rnacentral:sRNA from 1 species